UACGAAGGGGGCUAGCGUUGUUCGGAAUCACUGGGCGUAAAGCGCACGUAGGCGGACCUAUAAGUCAGGGGUGAAAUCCCGGGGCUCAACCUCGGAACUGCCUCUGAUACUGUGGGUCUCGAGACCGGAAGAGGUGAGUGGAAGUCCUAGUGUAGAGGUGAAAUUCGUAGAUAUUAGGAAGAACACCAGUGGCGAAGGCGGCUCACUGGUCCGGUUCUGACGCUGAGGUGCGAAAGCGUGGGGAGCAAACAGG
rnacentral:rRNA from 1 species